UUUGUAGUGGUAGCACCUCACCUCCUCCGAGGAAUAGAAGAUAACGUAAUUGGUCCCCUCGAAGGGGCUGGUCCUUGCAGCCCAGGGAGGUGGGAAGUUUGAUAGGACGACCCUUGUGCCAAGGCCCGUGAGCAGUUCAAUGGGGAUGAACAUCCCCACCACCGCGAGACCCCUCUUGAUUGCAGUGUUCGCAGUGGCCUCCUAUUUCAGGAAGAACGCGGCCUUCCCGUACAUUUUGGAGGCUGCCAAGAUGGCUGAAAGCCCCACCACCUUGGCCAUGGCCUUAACAAAUCCCUCAAUUGAGAGGGUGUCUCCUCGUAAUGUUCUUGAAGGGGGCCGCAGUGUCCGCAGCUACCUGCGCCCACCUUCUUGGGCUUGUUGAGCUUGCCCACUUAUUUUUUUUUUUUAAAUACAUUUUAAUUUGUUUAGAUAUUUAUUUUAUUUUAUUUAUUUUAUAAAAAAAAAAAAACAAAGACUACACACAACACAGCACAAAAAAUCACCUAUACUGCAAUCGGUGUGGGGGCACACAAACACAAAACAAACAGUUAUUUUUUUCUUAAAUAAAGGAAAAAAACGAUGAAAAACAAAACAAAACAAAGCUAAAGGUAAUUUAAAAUUAAUUGAAAACCUUCAACUAUAAGAAAGAAAAACAGGUCAGACACAAGGCAGAAGCAGGGGAUUUAAAACAAAACAGAUUUUUAAAGCAAAAUCUAAAACAGUUUUGUGAUCAAAAAAAAAAAACUAAAAUUAAAAGAAACAAAAGUAAAUGCUUUUCAAUAAACAAUUAAAAAGCAAAGAAAUUAAGAGUUUAAAUGAAGAAAAAAAUAAAAAUAGAAACAAACACAGAAACAAAGGAAAAUGGCUGACCACCAGCACUUCCAAACAGUGCAAGUGCAGGGAGAACAAAAGAAAAAAGAAACAGUGUUCUAUAAAAGACUAACCAAUAAAAUCAAAUAAUUUUUAACAAAAAAGGUGCACAACUGCUUUAGAAAAGGAAAUAUAUGAAAAGAUUUAGAAAAUAAAAAAGUUUAAAGAAUUGUUUUAAUAGUUUUUAUUGCACUACUUAAAGGCAGAUAUAAUUGCAUACCUGGACCAUCUGUGUGUGUCUGUAUCAGCACUUUCCUGAAGACAGCUCCAGGGCAGUCACUGGAGGUCACACAUGACUCCUGCUGGCUUGGCUGCAUUUGAAUGAAAGCACAGCAUGCACCACUACAGAUUCAAAGGUUCUCAGCUAACAAACUCCAUAUAACCGAAUACAGAGCAACAUAUUUCCAACAUCUGCAAUUUUCACAGGACUGAUUAUGGCAAAAAUCUAAUUAAGUGUGAUCAAUGUCAUAUUCAGUGGGAUUUACCAGUACAAUUUGGACGCUACAGCAAUCCAGUGUAGUUUUUGUGACAUUAUGAUUAUAAAUUAUAAUAUAUUACUACUAUUACGACUACUGCGACUAUUACGACUACUGCGACUACUACAACUACUACGACUACUACUACUACUAAUAAUAAUAAUAAUAAUAAUACUAAUAAUGAUAAUAAUAAUAAUAAUAAUGAUAAUAAUAAUAAUGCAUGCACAGACAAAUAUGAUGGCAAAAAUAUAAUGAUUAUAAAAUAUAAAAAAUACCGUUAGAUACUGUAGUGCUUGUGAAGUAUAUCAGCUAUGAGGUAUUAGGAGCCUGUACUGUGGGAAUGACACUUGCAUGCAGAACAUUAUUUAUUAUGUAUUUGAUAUCAGUUUCCUCUUGCCUUUGUAGCUUUUUUCUGUGUUUAGAUGCUUUGACCUAAGUUCACAAGCUUCUUUUCCAGUUUUCUGCCAUAGACGUAUGCAACCCAGGCUAGAUCAGCCAAAGUGUCUUUGUAUAGAAGUAAGAGCCAGCACCAUCUAGUGGGAAGGCAUUUGGUAUAACUGCAGUACUGUAUGUACAAUAUAUCUCUUUUGGACAUUUGAAUCAAAAGGAUACAGGAAUGCCACCUGCUAAGAGCUAAUGAUAAUCAUAUUAGAAUGCGUCCCACAUUUUCUGCUUGUACAGCGAGCAAAGCUAUCCUAUAUUUAACAUAUGAUGUAUAUUAGUGAUACCUUUUGAAUAGCUUAAUCAGUAAGUAGCUUCCAAUUGCAUUUACAAAAGUUUAUUUUUUCUAUCCCCUUAAGAGGCAACACCAUCUGUGUAUUUCCAGCCAUAUAAAAUUAAACUUGGCCCUUAAAGACUAAAUGUUUCUUGGUUUCUGUAACAUUAAUACAUGCAUCAGUUGCCACAAUCUUACACACGCAUAUAGAUAUGUAUAUAUGGGGCAAACGCUUAGUAAAUCUGUUUAUAAUCACAUUUGUUCACUUAUUUGUCAUGGUCUACUAACAAGAAUAAUUGUACUGUUUAUAAUCAAGUUAAUAAAUCCUCAUUAGUUCUAAACAUUAUUGAAUUACUGUCAUUGCAAAUAAUAAUAAUAAUAAUAAUAAUAAUAAUAAUAAUAAUAAUAAUAAUAAUAAUAAUAAUAAUAAUAAUAAUGUGCAUAUUAUUAGCAGUAACACCCAUAACACCCCUUUUAUCUUAUAAUGAGUGGUUUCAUUUCAGUGAAUCUAUGCCUUUUUUAGCAUUGUCCUCUCUGGAUUGUCCUUUGUCCCCAUUAUCCUGACAUCAGUCCGGUUUGGACAUAUGCUUUCACAGCUGCUGCUGUUGUUGUUCUUGUCACUGUACAUGCUCAUUAUACUUUGAGGGCAUCUUUCCCGUUUUCUCAGAGUGCUGGUUUCAGCGCGGAGUUGUUUCUCUCUCUGCAUCAGCAUCCAUUUGGUAUCAGAAUGCAUCCAUUCUUGCUCUAACAUUUUAUUGGUACAAGAGGGAGAACCACGUUUCUCCAGUAAAAAAUGAAAACCCAUAUAAAAAAUGCUAGUGCUGUCCAAAAACACAUCAUUUCAUACAAUAUACUACUUUUUCAAUUUCUAUAAUAUACGUUGUGUGUACUACUGUAUUCUGUAGGAAACUACAGUGUUUUAUAUGGGAUGCUAAAUCCCCUGGUUUUCCAUCUUCCUCUCUAUUAAUCAAAAUUAGAGCUAACCCUAACCCUAACCCUAACCCUAACCCUUGCACUGCCCCCUAAAUGUGUUCCUACAAUCCUAAAACAUGUGGUGCUGUCAUCUUUAUAUUUAUCAUAAGUUACAGUGUAUUUUUUAAAACUAUCUAUCUAUCUAUCUAUCUAUCUAUCUAUCUAUCUACCUAUCUACACCGUAUAUAUAUAAUAUGUCUAUCUAUCUACACCAUAUAUAAUAUCAUUAUGCUCUUGUCGUCUUGUGCCUUAUCUAUAUUCAUAUUCUUAAAUACACACAUACAUACAGUAUAUGUUAACUCUGUAUCUUUUGCAAACCACUUCUUCAAAAUGUCAAAACAACUAAGGCCUAUCUGUGCCUUAUUUCUGUAGCAACAACAAAACAGAGAUUUUACGUGGGCACCCAAUAAUUAAAAACUGCGUGAAGGUAUAACAAUAUAAUGAAUGAAAACUGAUAGACUAGUAGGUUUCCAUAGAAACGUGUAUAAUUAUGAUAAUCGGUCCCCGUGAACCCUACGAAUCAUAGGAUGUUCUUAUAAAUGAAAUAAGCAUUACAUAUUAUUUGGUAAGAUAAACAUGGUCCUGUGCAGUUAUAGAACUGCAGGACCGAUCAUUUCUUAAAUUAAAAGCACUGUAUACCAUGGAUUACUUCAAUAGUAAGCAUACUGUAUAUGUUGUGUGAUUAAGCAAGGCAGAUAUGCACUAAAUAUUUUUUUUUUCUGAUGAAUAUUCAUGAAGGAUUUUUCUCUUAUGCCACAAAUGUGACCUAGUGGUUGUUAUUUAUUCAAAUUCUUUACUUAAACUAUAUGGUAUACAAUUAACUUAAUUCCUUUUUUUUUUUUACUCAAUUCAUGCAUUUUCCCCCUACCUACUGAGUUACUUAAAUACAUUUCUUUCUUAUUUGAUAUCUGUAGCCCAUUUUGAAAACAGAGCUUUUUAUGUUAAAUUCCAUUCUUUAAUUGCUGCACAUUUCAUUGUACAAUAAUAUUUUUAUUUGACUUGGAAACGUGGUAAUAGAUGGGCAGUAGUUAGGGCAGGAAGAUUCAUGGAAAGAGCCACAAACAAGUUUUACUUUUCAGUGUAAUAAUAAAUACCGUUCAAAUAAUUAUCAUGGUUAGGUGGUCAGUGCUUCAUGACAAGUUUCUCAUUUCUCUUUCUGUUAGAUCCAGUUUUUAGCUAAUAAGUUAUCAAGCCACUCAAGUGGUAUACAAGGUCAUCACCAGCAUUCAGGCGGUUGCAAUAUCAGCUAAACGCUUCAAUACAAAAGGUGAACUUUAAGAUGGUUAUAACACAAUACUAUUAUAAAUGGAAAAAUAGAAUAUUUUUACCAAUGGCAAGCUUUUGUUUCUAAUGGGAUUGUAAAUAUGUGUAAAUAAUAAUAAUAAUAAUAAUAAUAAUAAUAAUAAUAAUAAUAAUAAUAAUAAUAAUAAUUCACUGAUAUGAACAAAAAAGCACUUAUUCUCAGAGGGUGAUAACAGAAAAUAUUUUCUGAUACUGUACAUAACAUUCUCAAGUAAUACAAACGACUAUUACAAUAAACAAGGCUGACUCUGCUAUGCUUGUGGAUGUACAGUAUAGGAACUGAGAAUAUGAACAGUCAAUUACAUGCAAAUAUUAAGUAUUGCAUUGCAGGAUCGCAAUUUUGACAAAUCUGGAGGUGUGUUCUGUUUACCUGUGAUAUUUAAAUGUCAUUACAUGUGGAACAAUUUUGAAAAGCUUUUUUAAAAAAUCCAAAUGGUGUCUUUUCAUAACAGAAACAAGAUGUCCAAUAUAUCACCUUCUGUGUUUGCCAUUUUAAAGAUUUUUAGGGUUGAAUUCAGGGGCUGUUACACAGAAAUACAUUCAUUUUGACAUCAAAGAUCAUGUACUGUAGUUUAAGUUGAAGUAUUUAAAUUAGACACAAAAUAGGGUCUAGUCACUACCAUGGGUUAAUGAGUCUAAUAAUGUUCUUCUUUAUUCAAGUAAAUUAAAUUUGCUGGCGUAAAAGUAAUUAUCACAAGAACACCAUAGGAGAGGCCCUUAAUGACUAUCAUGCUUUUGACUCUGCAGCCAAAGCAAUUUUUCUGUCCCCUUUCAACGUCAGAGUGAUUUCAAAACCACCAUAUUACAUGUUGGUGGCUGGUGUAUGCAGUUCUAGUUGUCAAAGGCAAUUAAAGAUGGCUGAGGUCAACUGUCUGAAGCAGAGAGCAGUUUGACUGUCAAUGUCUCUGCAACCCUGCCUCAAGGUCAGGAAUAUUAACCAUCUGGUCAGUUUGGGCUUUGUCACAGUUUCAAUAAAGGUCUGCUGGGCAAACAAUAGCCUAGAGACACUCUUACAUUGUACUGGAAAAUCAGAACCUCAAUGUACGUGUAUAUUUAUAAUGAUGGCUAUUCAAUUUGCCUAAAUAUAUAUAUAUAUUUGUAAAAAAAACAGUGGUCAUGAUGUGUGUGCACAAACAGAUGUCCCUUGCAGGUCUUCAAAGUUACUAGUGGUGUGUAAAGUCACAAGGACCCGUUUAAUUAUUAUCUAUUCUUGGCUUUAGUAUGGCUUGAAACAAGAGCAAUAUUUGUUUCUUAUAUGUGUUUUAUCACAGUUUAUUAAUGUGUGUGAAUCUAUGUUUUUCCUUCUUGUUUCUUUACAAAACCUCUGAAGCUUUAUUGGAAACCAGGAACUGAUCUCAAAUGAAUUACCCCGUGAAACAGCCAACAAAUGUUGUAAAUAAAUCCCAAAUUACACAAUGUUUGUGAUUUCAAAUUUGACAUCUUGGUCUGCAAAAUCUUGGAACACUCAUAAGUAAGGCUGUAUUUUUUUCAUAGAUUUCACAGUUUCUGUUCAAUUUGUUGUACAAUAACUGUAAAGAAAAAUCAUCAAUUUUGAAUGUGCCAACGCAAUUCUUUACUGCUUUAAUAAAUAUUAUGCUAAUCGUAAAAUAUCUAUUUUUAAAUCAUUAAAAAAAAAUUAGGUCACUCCAGCCAGGUUAACUGCACCGGGCAACUGUAUAUGGAUAUCAUGGAUGAUGUAGUUCUGUUUGCAGUUCAUCAUUUCUUUCCUCGUGUGGCAAUGCUUCUAUGCAUGGAUCCAGAGAGGUCAGAAGAUGGUUCGAAGAGCACAGCAGGGGACUUUACACACCUCCCUUAGCCUGCCGAGGCCCUGAGGAAUUAACUUGAUUUCUGCGGGCAAGGCGUUAACCGUGUGUGGUCCAGGAGGCUGUGUGGUCCAGUGGUUAAAGAAAAGGGCAUGUAACCAGGAGGUCCCUGGUUCAAAUCCCACCUCAGCCAGUGACUCAUUGUGUGACCCUGAGCAAGUCACUUAACCUCCUUGUGCUCCGUCUUUCAGAGUCAUUUUUAAAUACAUCUGCAUGUUAAAACAACUGGGAUAUUAAACCUUUCUUUUUUACGUGGAUGGACCAUCCUAAUCAUAGCUUGAUCACAAUGGAAUUCUAUUGGCCUAGUUUUUUUAUAUAUAUAUAUAUUUGUUUCUUUUCUGGUCACUAAUGUAUAUUAAGAGAAACAAAUAAUCCAUAAAAACUAAAAAAAUCCAACAAACAUUCAGAAGCACUUUAGAUUACAAGGCACAAAAAUCCAUGCACAUACAUUGUAAUAACUGCUUGUACAUGGUAACUAAGCUUCCUAUCUCUGCUUGCAUUCAAUUCAAGACCCUUGUUCUUGCCUACCGCUCUCUUCACCACACUGCCAUUUCCUACCUCCAAUUCUGGGUGUCUCCCAACACCCCCUCCUGCCCUCUCCGCUCCUCCUCUACUGGCCUUCUCUCCACUCUCCAUCCUCCCGUGCCCGCUCCUCCUCUUCUCUAGCCCCUCUGUGGUGGAAUCAGCUGCUGGAGAACUUCAGGACUGCUCCGUCUCUCACUGCCUUCCGCCGCCUCUUCCUCAAGACCCACCAGUUUAGACUGCACUUGUAGAUCUCUUGAUCUACCUCUCUUAUUAUGCACUGGACUUGCCUGACCUAAGCACCACAUUACUGGAUCUUGAGCUAAUGCACUAUCCUUGCACUAUUGCACUAAUGUGACAUUGUAGAUACAACUUGUAGUAAUCCUUACAUGUUGCAUCCUAGUUCAUAUUGUCUUUUAGUAGUAUUAUUUGCACUUACAGUAAACUAUACUGUAUAUAAAUGUUAAUAUUGCAUUACAACACUGUACUGCCCUGUAAUACCUGUAAGUUGCCUUGGAUAAAGGUGUCAGAUAAAUAAAUAAUAACAAUUUUGUUAUCGGAUAUAAUUAAUAGUACUGCCAUGGCACUGACCAUGUCUAUGUAACUACACACUGAUAGCUGAUACCCAGUUAUUACUGUGUUAUUAUAUAGUUCUGUAUGCUACAUUUGUUUUCUAUUUAUGCUCAGUCUUUAUUGUGUCCAUUGUCAUUUUCACUCAAAAUGAAGCAAAACCCGUUAAGUGGCUGAGGUUGCCACAGGGGCCUACAGUAAGAGGAAAAAAUAAUCGACAGCUGAUUACUAAUUACUAAUCAAAUAUUUUGUUGCAGUGACAGUGAUUGAAAAAAAAAUGCAUACAUUGGGUUGAGAAUCUUCAAUAUUCUAAAGGGAUUCUUUAUAUACAUUGUUUCAAUAUUUCAUUAUUUACCUGUUUAAUAGGGAUGGAAAGCGGUGAUAUAAUUUAUUUUCCUUCUGAAACUGUGAUUUUGUAUAGACAUUUUGAAUUUAUGAAAUCACAAUAACCAUAGUUACACUGAAUUCUGAUCAUAGUUUGCCAAUAAAAUAGUAUGCAAUACAAAGCUAUGUGUUAUAAUGUUGUCUGGGAUAUCACCCACAAUUUAAAACAAUUUUGAGAACCUUAACUCAACAGGGUGAUUAUUGGCACACUGUAUUCCAGUGGGUCACUAUACAUUAUAAUAGGACAUUAUAAUAAACACCCUUUAGAGUCAAGGACCCUACAAAAAUGUAAAUUGUGCAGAACACCCUAGACAGUAACCCUCUGUGCUACUGUGGUUAUAGUGAUUUCAUAAAUUUGACUUUUCUAUACAAAAUCCCAGAUUCAGAACGAGCAGAAAUUUCAGCUACACACUCCUUUCCAUCCCUAUUAAAUUGGUAAAUCAAAUCUCUACUCCAUUUAUGCAUUUUAUAAAUGCCUGCAGCUGAGGACAUUGCACCCUGGAGGUAACAAUAGUCUUCCCGAGGGGCAUUUCAUUUUCCACUGAUUUUUUUUGCGCUAAAAUAACUUUUUUUGGAACUGAACAAAUUGAUAAAGUAUUUAGCGAGUUAUUUUAAUUUUUCUUUGUGCAUGCACAGUUUAUUUUUUGCUAACUAGGUUACGCAUGCGCAGUUGGGCUCCACCACCAAGAGUAAGUUAGUGGGUAUAACAGUUUAAUAAUUCUCUAUGGAUAAUUUCAUUUGAAUUCCUUAGGUCACUUAUGUCUUGUGGUUCUUGUAGAUCCGGACUUUAUCCAUUUCAUUUUUUACAGCACUAUCUCCAAUGGGGACUCCAGAAGUUAAUGUAGCAACGAAUGAAAUUGUACCUCUUUUAAAUAUUUACAGGAAACAUAUUAGUCAGUAUAUAUUUAGUUCAUAUGCAUUAUAUACACUUUAAAACAUAAGCAUAAAAGACCUAUAUUCGUAAUACUAAUAUAUUGUGUACGAUAACGUAUUACAAACAAUAUAAUGUGCACAUAGGAGGCUGUGUGGUCCGGUGGCUAAAGAAAAUGACUUGUAAAUUGAAGGUCCCUGGUUCAAAUCCCACCACUGCCACUGACUGACUCACUGUGUGACCCUGAGCAAGUCACUUAAUCUCCUUGUGUGUCUUUUGGGUGAGACGUUGUUCUAAGUGACUUGGAAGCUGAUGCAUAGUUUGCAUACCUUAGUCUAAAUAAACAAAUAACAAUUAAUAUUACCAAAUGUUUGAUGGUUUAUUUCCAAACACAACAAUCACA